CCCUUAGAUGUUCUGGGCCGCACGCGCGCUACACUGAUGAAUUCAACGAGCUCCUAACCUAGGCCGAAGGGUCCGGGUAAUCUUUGAAAUUUCAUCGUGAUGGGGAUAGAUUAUUGCAAUUAUUAAUCUUCAACGAGGAAUUCCUAGUAAGCGCGAGUCAUCAGCUCGCGUUGAUUACGUCCCUGCCCUUUGUACACACCGCCCGUCGCUCCUACCGAUUGAAUGGUCCGGUGAAAUGUUCGGACCGCGACAAGGCGGGCGGUUCGCUGUCAGCUUUGCUGCGGGAAGUUCAUUAAACCUUAUCAUUUAGAGGAAGGAGAAGUCGUAACA
rnacentral:rRNA from 1 species